rnacentral:misc_RNA from 1 species
UGACACUAGUAGGUUCUGAAUCACUAGUAGGUUCUGAAUCACUUUGAGAAAUAAAAGGUUGUGAUUGGGACUUCUGUUGAUCGAAUUGUUUGGAUGAAUCCGAAUCUGAAUCCGAAUUGCUUAGAAGUGGGGGUUUCAUUGAAGUUUGAGUAGAGUUUGAGGUCGAAACUUCAUCUAAGUUUGAAGCAUGAGGUUCCUGGGUUACAACCGCGGCGGUUUUAGGGUUCCGGGGCGGCGGCGGGUUCAUGUCAGUCGUCAUUCUAAGACGGGAAGAUGAACUUAGUGGCA